rnacentral:rRNA from 1 species
GAUGAACGCUGGCGGCGUGCCUAAUACAUGCAAGUCGAGCGAACAGACGAGGAGCUUGCUCCUCUGACGUUAGCGGCGGACGGGUGAGUAACACGUGGAUAACCUACCUAUAAGACUGGGAUAACUUCGGGAAACCGGAGCUAAUACCGGAUAAUAUAUUGAACCGCAUGGUUCAAUAGUGAAAGACGGUUUUGCUGUCACUUAUAGAUGGAUCCGCGCCGCAUUAGCUAGUUGGUAAGGUAACGGCUUACCAAGGCAACGAUGCGUAGCCGACCUGAGAGGGUGAUCGGCCACACUGGAACUGAGACACGGUCCAGACUCCUACGGGAGGCAGCAGUAGGGAAUCUGACGCAAUGGGCGAAAGCCUGACGGAGCAACGCCGCGUGAGUGAUGAAGGUCUUCGGAUCGUAAAACUCUGUUAUUAGGGAAGAACAAAUGUGUAAGUAACUAUGCACGUCUUGACGGUACCGAAUCAGAAAGCCACGGCUAACUACGUG